CUUCUUGUCUAGCUUUCUAUGGAAUGGUAUAAUUUCCAUUUACAUAUUCAUUUCUUCUUUUAUUGUACUCUGGUUUUGAUUUAUUAAAUCUAUGAAAAUCAUGAUUUCCAUCAGUUUGGGUUGGUUUUCUGUCUUUAAUUUCUACUAUCAUUUGUUUCAUCUCUUUUUUGAACUGUUUAUAUUUAGUUUCCUCCUUCUCUCCAAAUGAACAAGUUUGUCGGUCAACUAGUUUUAACUUUGUACCCCUGAUUCACCGUUCUUACACACCCGGUGUUGGUAAUCUCUCCUCAUGAAUACUUUGUG
rnacentral:lncRNA from 1 species